rnacentral:rRNA from 1 species
AACGAACGCUGGCGGCAUGCCUAACACAUGCAAGUCGAACGAAACCUUCGGGGCUAGUGGCGCACGGGUGCGUAACGCGUGGGAACGUGCCCUUAGGUUCGGAAUAACUCCCCGAAAGGUGUGCUAAUACCGGAUAAUGUCUUCGGAGCAAAGAUUUAUCGCCAUUGGAUGGGCCCGCGUUGGAUUAGCUAGUUGGUAGGGUAAAAGCCUACCAAGGCGACGAUCAGUAGCUGGUCUGAGAGGAUGACCAGCCACACUGGGACUGAGACACGGCCCAGACUCCUACGGGAGGCAGCAGUGGGGAAUAUUGGACAAUGGGCGAAAGCCUGAUGCAGCCAUGCCGCGUGAGUGAUGAAGGCCUUAGGGUUGUAAAGCUCUUUUACCCGGGAUGAUAAUGACAGUACCGGGAGAAUAAGCCCCGGCUAACUCCGUG